GAUGAACGCUGGCGGCGUGCCUAAUACAUGCAAGUCGAGCGAACGGACGAGAAGCUUGCUUCUCUGAUGUUAGCGGCGGACGGGUGAGUAACACGUGGAUAACCUACCUAUAAGACUGGGAUCACUUCGGGAAACCGGAGCUAAUACCGGAUAAUCUUUUGAACCGCAUGGUUCAAAAGUGAAAGAAGGUCUUGCUGUCACUUAUAGAUGGAUCCGCGCUGCAUUAACUAGUUGGUAAGGUAACGGCUUACCAAGGCAACGAUCCAUAGCCGACCUGAGAGGGUGAUCGGCCACACUGGAACUGAGACACGGUCCAGACUCCUACGGGAGGCAGCAGUAGGGAAUCUUCCGCAAUGGGCGAAAGCCUGACGGAGCAACGCCGCGUGAGUGAUGAAGGUCUUCGGAUCGUAAAACUCUGUUAUUAGGGAAGAACAUAUGUGUAAGUAACUGUGCACAUCUUGACGGUACCUAAUCAGAAAGCCACGGCUAACUACGUG
rnacentral:rRNA from 1 species